UACGUAGGGGGCAAGCGUUAUCCGGAUUUACUGGGUGUAAAGGGAGCGUAGACGGCAAUACAAGUCGGAAGUGAAAUACCCGGGCUCAACCUGGGAACUGCCUUGGAAACUGUAUGGCUGGAGUGCUGGAGAGGUAAGCGGAAUUCCUAGUGUAGCGGUGAAAUGCGUAGAUAUUAGGAGGAACACCAGUGGCGAAGGCGGCUUACUGGACAGUAACUGACGUUGAGGCUCGAAAGCGUGGGGAGCAAACAGG
rnacentral:rRNA from 1 species